GACGAACGCUGGCGGCGUGCUUAACACAUGCAAGUCGAACGACGUGGCGCACGGGUGAGUAUUACGUGGGUAAACUUCCCUCCUUUUUGGGAUUAGCCUUUGAAACCGGGUCUAAUACCGACUAACGGGGGUUGGGCUCGCGGCCUAUCAGCUUGUUGGUGGGGUAAUGGCCUACCAAGGCGGUGACGGGUAGCCUGCCUGAGAGGGUGCACGGGCACAUAGGGACUGAGCAACGGCCCAGACUCGUACGGGGGGCAGCAGAGGGGGAUAUUGCACAAUGGGCGAAGGCCUGAUGCAGCGACGCCGCGUGGGGGAUGAGGGCUUUCGGGUUGUAAACCUCUUUCGCUAUCGAGCGGGUAGGUGGAGAAGAAGCGCCGGCUAACUACGUGCCAGCAGCCGCGGUAAUUC
rnacentral:rRNA from 1 species